AUUGAACGCUGGCGGCAUGCUUUACACAUGCAAGUCGAACGGUAACAGGCCUUCGGGUGCUGACGAGUGGCGAACGGGUGAGUAAUGCAUCGGAACGUACCCAGAGGUGGGGGAUAACGCAGCGAAAGCUGUGCUAAUACCGCAUGUGAUCUGAGGAUGAAAGCGGGGGACCGAGCAGCAAUGUUUGGCCUCGCGCCUUUGGAGCGGCCGAUGUCGGAUUAGCUAGUUGGUGGGGUAAAGGCCUACCAAGGCGACGAUCCGUAGCUGGUCUGAGAGGACGACCAGCCACACUGGGACUGAGACACGGCCCAGACUCCUACGGGAGGCAGCAGUGGGGAAUUUUGGACAAUGGGCGCAAGCCUGAUCCAGCAAUGCCGCGUGCGGGAAGAAGGCCUUCGGGUUGUAAACCGCUUUUGGCAGGAACGAAACAGUGUCCGCUAAUACCGGGCGCUAAUGACGGUACCUGCAGAAUAAGCACCGGCUAACUACGUG
rnacentral:rRNA from 1 species